AAUAUCAAUCUCCAGUCUCAGGGAUCAUUUCUACAGUUUGUAACUAGAUUAAUUUCUCUAGGAGUAUAGAGUGCCAGAAAUCACCAGGUGGAGGCUUAGUGUUCUCUCCAGAGUGUGGCUCUCCUGAGCUGGCUCUUGGUGUUGCUUUGUUGCAACUGCAUUUGCCAUUGGUGAUUGUUCUUUCUUGUCCUUUGGGAGACUAGAAGAAGAGAAUGCAGUCUGAAUGAC
rnacentral:snoRNA from 1 species